rnacentral:tRNA from 1 species
GGUUUGGUAGUUCAGUUGGUGGAACGUCUGCUUAACACGCAGAAGGUCGUCGGUUCGAGUCCGGCCCAGAUCA